rnacentral:rRNA from 1 species
CCUACGGGUGGCAGCAGUGAGGAAUAUUGGUCAAUGGGCGCGAGCCUGAACCAGCCAAGUAGCGUGAAGGAUGACUGCCCUACGGGUUGUAAACUUCUUUUAUAAAGGAAUAAAGUGAGGCACGUGUGCCUUUUUGUAUGUACUUUAUGAAUAAGGAUCGGCUAACUCCGUGCCAGCAGCCGCGGUAAUACUGAGGAUCCGCGCGUUAUCCGGCUUUAUUGGGUUUAAAGGGAGCGUAGAUGGGUUGUUCAGUCAGUUGUGAAAGUUUGCGGCUCAACCGUAAAAUUGCAAGUGAUACUGGCAGACUUGAGUACAGGUGAGGUAGGCGGAAUUCGUGGUGUAGCGGUGAAAUGCUUAGAUAUCACGAAGAACUCCGAUUGCGAAGGCAGCUUACUAAACUGCCACUGACAUUGAUACUCGAAAGUGUGGGUAUCAAACAGGAGUAGAUACCCCAGUAGUC